AGCAGCCGCGGUAAUUCCAGCUCCAAUAGCGUAUAUUAAAGUUGUUGCAGUUAAAAAGCUCGUAGUUGAAUUUCGGGAUCAGUACGCUGGUCGUGCCUUUGGUAUGUACUGGUGUCACUGAUUCCUCCCUUCUGAAGAACCGUUAUGCCAUUUAUUUGGUGUGGCGGGGAAUCAGGACUGUUACUUUGAAAAAAUUAGAGUGUUUAAAGCAGGCUCACGCUUGAAUACACUAGCAUGGAAUAAUGAAAUAGGACGUUUGAUUCUAUUUUGUUGGUUUCUAGGAUCGACGUAAUGAUUAAUAGGGAUAGUUGGGGGCAUUAGUAUUCAAUUGUCAGAGGUGAAAUUCUUGGAUUUAUUGAAGACUAACUACUGCGAAAGCAUUUGCCAAGGAUGUUUUCAUUAAUCAAGAACGAAAGUUAGGGGAUCGAAGACGAUCAGAUACCGUCGUAG
rnacentral:rRNA from 1 species